GUGCACAGAAGGGUAUGGGUCUAUGUAGUAUUAGCAGGUUUAAGGUAGCCUCCCUGUGCACAGAAGGGUAUGGGUCUAUGUAGUAUUAGCAGGUUUAAGGUAGCCUCCCUGUGCACAGAAGGGUAUGGGUCUAUGUAGUAUUAGCAGGUUUAAGGUAGCCUCCCUGUGCACAGAAGGGUAUGGGUCUAUGUAGUAUUAGCAGGUUUAAGGUAGCCUCCCUGUGCACAGAAGGGUAUGGGUCUAUGUAGUAUUAGCAGGUUUAAGGUAGCCUCCCUGUGCACAGAAGGGUAUGGGUCUAUGUAGUAUUAGCAGGUUUAAGGUAGCCUCCCUGUGCACAGAAGGGUAUGGGUCUAUGUAGUAUUAGCAGGUUUAAGGUAGCCUCCCUGUGCACAGAAGGGUAUGGGUCUAUGUAGUAUUAGCAGGUUUAAGGUAGCCUCCCUGUGCACAGAAGGGUAUGGGUCCAUGUAGUAUUAGCAGGUUUAAGGUAGCCUCCCUGUGCACAGAAGGGUAUGGGUCUAUGUAGUAUUAGCAGGUUUAAGGUAGCCUCCCUGUGCACAGAAGGGUAUGGGUCUAUGUAGUAUUAGCAGGUUUAAGGUAGCCUCCCUGUGCACAGAAGGGUAUGGGUCUAUGUAGUAUUAGCAGGUUUAAGGUAGCCUCCCUGUGCACAGAAGGGUAUGGGUCUAUGUAGUAUUAGCAGGUUUAAGGUAGCCUCCCUGUGCACAGAAGGGUAUGGGUCUAUGUAGUAUUAGCAGGUUUAAGGUAGCCUCCCUGUGCACAGAAGGGUAUGGGUCUAUGUAGUAUUAGCAGGUUUAAGGUAGCCUCCCUGUGCACAGAAGGGUAUGGGUCUAUGUAGUAUUAGCAGGUUUAAGGUAGCCUCCCUGUGCACAGAAGGGUAUGGGUCUAUGUAGUAUUAGCAGGUUUAAGGUAGCCUCCCUGUGCACAGAAGGGUAUGGGUCUAUGUAGUAUUAGCAGGUUUAAGGUAGCCUCCCUGUGCACAGAAGGGUAUGGGUCUAUGUAGUAUUAGCAGGUUUAAGGUAGCCUCCCUGUGCACAGAAGGGUAUGGGUCUAUGUAGUAUUAGCAGGUUUAAGGUAGCCUCCCUGUGCACAGAAGGGUAUGGGUCCAUGUAGUAUUAGCAGGUUUAAGGUAGCCUCCCUGUGCACAGAAGGGUAUGGGUCUAUGUAGUAUUAGCAGGUUUAAGGUAGCCUCCCUGUGCACAGAAGGGUAUGGGUCUAUGUAGUAUUAGCAGGUUUAAGGUAGCCUCCCUGUGCACAGAAGGGUAUGGGUCUAUGUAGUAUUAGCAGGUUUAAGGUAGCCUCCCUGUGCACAGAAGGGUAUGGGUCUAUGUAGUAUUAGCAGGUUUAAGGUAGCCUCCCUGUGCACAGAAGGGUAUGGGUCUAUGUAGUAUUAGCAGGUUUAAGGUAGCCUCCCUGUGCACAGAAGGGUAUGGGUCUAUGUAGUAUUAGCAGGUUUAAGGUAGCCUCCCUGUGCACAGAAGGGUAUGGGUCUAUGUAGUAUUAGCAGGUUUAAGGUAGCCUCCCUGUGCACAGAAGGGUAUGGGUCUAUGUAGUAUUAGCAGGUUUAAGGUAGCCUCCCUGUGCACAGAAGGGUAUGGGUCUAUGUAGUAUUAGCAGGUUUAAGGUA